CAGACCAAUUCUGAUGAGGCUGAUAAAAUUCACCCAGUUUUACAACAGCAAGCAGUGUCAAAUUUUAGUCUGGUUGCUUAUGGCCUGCAGUUCUUACCAUGCAGAAGUCAGAAGGACUACAGCCUGCAGCAAUUGUGGAAGUUGACAGCAAAUUAAAGGGAAUAUGAGUUCUGGCAUUCAUCUAUAGCAAUUUAGGAACAGCCUUUUCAUUACUGUAAAAAUAGCAAGUAUUGAUAAGCAACAUGUAGCUCUGAUCUGCACUAAAUCUCAAAUUGCAAUACAGAAAAAGCAGGAACAAAGUUAACACUUCAAAAACAGGAAACUAUUGCAAAGGGGAAAAGCAGCUUGCCCAGACACACACCAUGGACUAAGAUAGGGCUUUGGACCAAAUUCCAGGCUCUGGUUCCUGCAUCUCGUCUGCUGCACCACCUCCUCAGAAAAGGGAUGGAGCAUCACAGCAGUUUCUGGAAAUCACCCUUAGAUUCUCCUGUCCCCAGAUUUCCCUUUAAUUUUUUACUCCAGCGCACCUGCUAAGCAGUAUGUUUCAGCAAUGCACAGCCAUGGGCUCCUCGUGGGUUUUUUUUCCUGCCAGUGAAAUAGCUAUGACUGUAAGGUUUACAGAGACUUUCUGUUCCUGUCUAAAAUUAUCUUUGCUGAUCCUUGCGACGCCAAGACCACAGAGCCAAUAUUCCACAAGCCCUGAGAAAGAAGCACUGUAUUUCAGGCACACUCAACUAGUGUUGUUCCAGCAGCAUCCAUCAGCCACGACCAAAGCUCUGGGUCACCACCGUGCAGCAGGGGACACUGCCUGUUCCUUUGGUGCAUCAGACAGCGCAGAGUCAGGGUCUGGGUGCUCUGUGGCUGUUCAGCCGAACAGGAGCCUCUGUGAUCCCUGCUCCAACUGUGAGAUCAGGGCAGAAGUGGAUGAAAAGACGGCAGGUGGAUGCAGGCAGAUGGGGGAAGCGGGGCCAAGAGGGAGACAACAGCAAUUAGCAUAAGCAGCGGCAGCCUCAGCUCACCAGCUGCUUUGCCGAUUGUCUGCCUCCCCGAUUUCCAACAGCAAAGAAGUAAUUUGCCGACGAGCAGAGUCAGUAGCCAAGGCUGCCCCUCAGGACUGAAACUAUCAGGGAAAACAAACGAUUUCCAUGGUACAAAACUAUGGCUUGCAGGGCUUUGAUGUAGGAGUUUGCCUAAGUAAGGCAUGGAGCAUGCAGCUCAAAACAGACACCAAAUACUUCAGAGCGAAAGGCUAAAAAAGGAAGGUUUUAGAGGAGGAAAUGAGUCAGUAGCUUGGAGGACGGGAGGGGGAGUUCAAAUAGCUGAGGCAUAUAAAGUAAGCAAGCAUCUCAAAAGCUACGAAGUCAGCAAAGUGGAUGUAUUGAUCUCAGGUUUCUGUUGAUGUAGACCACGGGUGACUUUUUAUAUUGACCAUGCUGGAUUUUGAAGCAAUCCUUCACUGGGCAGACAUUUGCCAGCUGCAGUUUACACCAGUGUUUCUGACAGGAGCCUUAAGUGGUCACCACCAGCUACAGGAUUGCUGUAAUCUAUCAGUCUCCCCUGGUUGAAGGAUGGAUUUUUUGGGGGCCGUGUGUGUGUGGGAAGUUUCAGGCUGAUUGCAAAUACCAUUUGCCUGAAGAGCAGGAGAGGGAUUCACCUUUCAUGAUGGUUCAUCCAAAUGUACAGCCUCAGCUUCCAGCCUAGCUUAUUUAUAGCACUAACACUGUGAGAAAAAAAAAAAAGGGCAAAGCUGGUUCAGUGUUGAAAAGCAGAAAAGCUAGUAAAAAAAAAACCCUUCUCCACAAUGCAAUUCCUGUCUGUCACUGUGACAAUCUCAUAUUGCACUGAGAGGCUGGGGACAAAGAGAUCUCACCCCAGGAGGGCUUUAGCCUCGCUCACCACACAGCAGAGGGUGCAACAGGGUGUGCAACACACUAAGCCAGAGGUGUUGGUGUCAAGAGUUGCAGUAACUUCCUCACCUCUGCCUGGUCCUUGUCCCAUCCAAAGGCUGGCACUGAUAGAGAGGGGAACUCGGGAAUAAACCCAAAAUUUUCUCCUGCCCUCCCCAAACCAGGGAGCUCCCCCUGGGAUCAGGCUCCCAGGCAAGAGCUAGAACAGCUUUGACAGGACCCUGCUGCAAGUCCAGGCAGAGGGAACCCCAGCACUACAAAUGGUCAGGGUGAUGCUAAAGGCACAUGAGGAGAGGGCUGUCAGGUCAGGGAGCAGCACAGGGCUGGAGAAGCAGGCUCCCUUCCCCUGCAGAACCAGCAGCACAGGAUCGGCAUGCAGCAGGGGUUCCCAGCAUGCCAUACACACUGUUAACCCCAGCAGGCAGCCCUGGGGCAGGGCUGGAGCUCCCAGUGCAGGAACAGCAGGGCAGGGGCUGUGGAGCCCUGUGCUAAGGCAGGCUGGUACCACCAUAACCACACGCUUGUUUGUGUAUUUUGGUGCACAGAUCCUGCCUCAAAGCACCACAUCCGCGUUGUUUAUCCUUGCUGGGCUAUGCUGUUUUGUCUUCUGGAGAAUUACACAUUUCAAAAAGCCGUUGUGGUUGGUGGUGAGUGAGUGCCCUUUCCAGAGCAGGCACAUCUUUCUCAUGAGGCAGCUUAAAAGUGAGAGCUUUCUCUUACUCUGCUGGUGAAGGAGUGAGUUGUUGUCCGUGCUGAAUUUCCUUUAACCGGUUAGAAACUUUCUCAAUCUACUGCAACAUUUCCAAAACCACCUCUCAGAACAGACUGAGCCAAGAGGCCAGUUCCACCUCAUUUGCCCUUAUAAGUACACAGCAUGAAAUAGCCCAGUGUUGUUCUCAUGGCCUCGUAUCAUCUCCUCCCCUCUUCCCCAGGAUGUCUCACUUCUGUACCCCUCAGUCAGAGUGAAACCCAUCUACAGAGAGCAAGCCAGGAACAGUAACAGACAAAUCACCCACAUCAAUUACGACUAGAAAGCACAGCUGCCCCAGGUUUCUGCUACACACCACCAGAGAUGGAGGUCUGCUGUGGCACUGCCACAUGGCACUGACCACCACUGCAUUGAUUUCCUCUCCAAGCCACAAUCACAGCAGAGGCAGGACCAGAAGUUGUCCAGAGAAACUUACUAACAUGACUGAAGCUCUCCCUACUACACAGGCACUUUAUUUGACUUGUUUUAGAACUACGUUUCAAAAAGGAAAACAAACCCCAAACACGUCCCUGUUUAUUUCUUGUUAAUAUUUCCAAAGUCAAGAUUUGGGGUCAAAUUUAAGCAUUCCUUGAUUAAAUGCAUCAGGGAAGAACUAUCCACACAGGCCAAUUAGUCUGAGUCGUGCUGGUAGGUCUUUUUGCUAGUUUCAUUACAAAUCUGAUGCAAGAGCUUUUGCAACAAAUGAACCCCUGGCAGGAGUAAGUCACCCAGCACAAGAGCCUAAUGAAACAGGACGGCUUUUUCAAUGCACCCAUCUUCAGCAUGGGAUCUUUCAGCAACUUCUCUCUCUCGUGAACAGACCUAAAAACUACAAGGACCAUCUACUGGGGUACCCUCCAAAGAGGGGAUAAAUCAAAUAAAAAUUAACCCCCUUUAACUAGAACAGCAAUAUGGAUGAGAACUGUAAGGUGUGUAAGCAUUGCUCACACCUUUAGUGAAUAGUGAAGCUUCAUGAUUAUAUCCCAGCCCUGAAAAUGCCGCCAUCGAGCCUUGGUUUUGCUUCCUUCUUACAGGAAGGCACAUACUCAACAAAUAAGCUUUUGAUGCUGGCAGCUUUUUGCUCAUUGACUCAAGCCGGGAACACCACUCUAGUCAGGAUUCGGUGAUAAAAACCUAACUUUCUAUACAUUUUGUACCAUCAGCAGCUGCCUACAUGCAGCCCGAGCCUCACUGGCCGGAAACAUGAAGGAAUGAGUGUUUUCGUCAGGGCGAGCAGGCCUGCCAUGAACAUGGAAGAGCAAAUUCUCGGAGCGCCCCGGCCUCGGCAGCAGCGUUUUGUCAGGGCCGCCUUUGUUCCGAGGACAAGCUGCUCGUUGUUCCGGCACGGAGCAGCGCCGGGAUCCGGGACCCGCGGCUGCCGGCGGGGAGCGCCGGGCUCUGCCGCAGCAGCCCGAGCCAAUCAGCACCGCCCGCCCGAGAUCGCACCAAAGUAGGUAGUGAAAAACCCUCGGAGGAAGAAAAAAAAAAAAAAAGAAAAA
rnacentral:lncRNA from 1 species